rnacentral:lncRNA from 1 species
AACAAUGGUUUGCAGGCACACAGUAAAACAAUCCAUUUGAUAAGCUAAUGAGCUGAGAGUCAUCAGUGAGCAUUGAACUUUGAAUCUUUAAAAUGGAUGAAGUGUACCUUCCUCUACGGAAUGCGAUUUAUCAACAUUCUAAAGCCCACUGCACGCACGAGAUACAUAUUGAUUUAUAUUAUACUACUAGUAGCCUACCAAUGAGAUGCAGUUCUUUAAUAAUGAAAAACGUAUUCCUACUUUAAUAUAGGCGUAGUACGGAAACGGAUUACUUUAAAAAUAAGCAAUGUCGCAAUAACUUGUUUUGUGGGUCUGGUUUAGAGUAUUUGAUUUUGCGACAACAUUGCGUUCUCCGUUUCCGCACUAUGUCCAUAUCGCAAAAACGUUUUUGUGAGUCUCUCUGGUCUCCAGAUACUGGACCUUAUCCUACCUAUCCAGUGCCAUUAAAUCCAUGACAUAAGGAACUUUGAACUGAUGUACUUAGUUAGUCGUAGUUAGACUGACUUACCCGACGUCUAGGCUGCAUGCUGCUCCAUAAGAUUAAAAUAGUAAAAACGUGGAAUUGGCUCAGUGCAAGAAGGAAGUGUUUUUCAGAUUUGUGUCGUAAUGUGAAACUCGAGUUGUUUGACAGGUGCGGCAAGGGAGGGCAAUGUAAUGAUGCCCAAAGAGAGCCUACCAACAAAUGACUCCUUCCUCCCAGACCUGGACAAGCUAGACAAGGGAGAGAUAUUGGCUGAGGUUGAUUUGGACCCAACUCCAGUGCCUCACUGUUCCGGUAAGGGUCGAAAAACGAAGCAUUUUGCCACAGUGCAGGUGCUCUGUGGCAACAAAAAAAAGGUGAUUUAUAAGUUAGCAUACUAUU